AUGAACGCUAGCUACAGGCUUCACACAUGCAAGUCGCGGGGAAACGACAUCGAAAGCUUGCUUUUGAUGGGCGUCGACCGGCGCACGGGUGAGUAACGCGUAUCCAACCUGCCCAUCACUUGGGGAUAACCUUGCGAAAGUAAGACUAAUACCCAAUGAUAUCUCUAGAAGACAUCUGAAAGAGGUUAAAGAUUUAUCGGUGAUGGAUGGGGAUGCGUCUGAUUAGCUUGUUGGCGGGGUAACGGCCCACCAAGGCAACGAUCAGUAGGGGUUCUGAGAGGAAGGUCCCCCACAUUGGAACUGAGACACGGUCCAAACUCCUACGGGAGGCAGCAGUGAGGAAUAUUGGUCAAUGGGCGAGAGCCUGAACCAGCCAAGUAGCGUGCAGGAAGACGGCCCUAUGGGUUGUAAACUGCUUUUAUAAGGGAAUAAAGUGAGAGUCGUGACUCUUUUUGUAUGUACCUUAUGAAUAAGGACCGGCUAAUUCCGUG
rnacentral:rRNA from 1 species